rnacentral:lncRNA from 1 species
AAUAAUUAUAUUUGAGUGAAAAGUGGAUGAAAUGCUAUCCUGAAGGAAUGUGCUAAAAUUUUUUUAUAUUUAAGAAUAAUUUUGUUCAUUUAGAAGCAACUUUCAUGAAUAUAUUAUUCAUAAUUAUAAGUAAGAUUACAUUAAUUAAACUAAUACAAACAUCUGAAUGGGCCCUCAACUUACAGCAAAUUCAUAUUUAUGAUUAUAAUUAUUCAUGAUUUCAUAUUUAUUAUAGCUGUAAUCAAUGGUUUUGCAAUAAUGGUGGCCAUAUUGGCCUACACUGCUACUUCAGUUAGCUGUUGUUUCAAUUCAAGAAUGUUUUAUGAAAUAUCUUAAUGAUAUUGCAUAUCAUAAAAAAAUUACUUUAAAAAAACAAUUUGAAGUUUUCAUCAGCCAGAGAUCCCACGUGGUAAAGCAAUGCAUACCAUUUGAAGGAGUUUUUAAUUUUCAGGCCAUAUCUGCAAAUUUUUCAGGAGCUGUCUUUAUGCCUGGUAUGCUAAAUCCCCAUUGGCUCACCCUGUCAGGAUGAACCAAUGAGGAGCCAUGAUCUGAAAUAUCUACAACCAUAUGCAAGAUUAAUGGCUGCAUAAUUGAACAAAUCAAUUAACCAAAAAAUAUUUCCUUCCUGCAUAUAUAGGAAAAAAAUUGAAAAUGACUAUUUGUCAUAUGUCUAUAACUCAUGAAAAUGAUUAAAAUAAAAUCAGAUGCUACAGUUAAUGUAAUAUAAUCAAGAAAGUCAUUUUCUCAUAUUAUACUCUAUUAAAUAAAUUUAUAACCAUGCAAAACUAAUAACGUUCAAUAUAUAUAAACCCAGCAAAAAU